rnacentral:rRNA from 2 species
AACGCUAGCUACAGGCUUAACACAUGCAAGUCGAGGGGAAACGACAUCGAAAGCUUGCUUUUGAUGGGCGUCGACCGGCGCACGGGUGAGUAACGCGUAUCCAACCUGCCCACCACUUGGGGAUAACCUUGCGAAAGUAAGACUAAUACCCGAUGAUAUCUCUAGACGACAUCUGAAAGGGAUUAAAGAUUCAUCGGUAGAGGAUGGGGAUGCGUCUGAUUAGGUAGUAGGCGGGGUAACGGCCCACCUAGCCGACGAUCAGUAGGGGUUCUGAGAGGAAGGUCCCCCACAUUGGAACUGAGACACGGUCCAAACUCCUACGGGAGGCAGCAGUGAGGAAUAUUGGUCAAUGGACGAGAGUCUGAACCAGCCAAGUAGCGUGCAGGAUGACGGCCCUAUGGGUUGUAAACUGCUUUUAUGUGGGAAUAAUGAGACUACGUGUAGUUUUUUGCAUGUACCACAUGAAUAAGGACCGGCUAAUUCCGUGCCAGCAGCCGCGGUAAUACGGAAGGUCCGGGCGUUAUCCGGAUUUAUUGGGUUUAAAGGGAGCGCAGGCCGUGGGCUAAGCGUGCCGUGAAAUUCUGUCGCUCAACGGCAGACGUGCGGCGCGAACUGGUCCACUUGAGUACGCGGGACGUUGGCGGAAUUCGUGGUGUAGCGGUGAAAUGCUUAGAUAUCACGAAGAACUCCGAUUG